ncrna:Danio rerio (zebrafish) microRNA dre-mir-457a precursor
UGCCUGACAGAAGCAGCACAUCAAUAUUGGCAGCUGCCCUCUCUCUGGGUUGCCAGUAUGGUUUGUGCUGCUCCCGUCAGACA